UCAUGAUUUACGUUAAUGAGCAUACAAAU
rnacentral:sRNA from 1 species